rnacentral:rRNA from 1 species
UACGUAGGGGGCAAGCGUUGUCCGGAUUUAUUGGGCGUAAAGAGCGUGUAGGCGGCCAUACAGGUCAGCUGUGAAAACUCGAGGCUCAACCUCGAGACGUCGGUUGAAACCGUAUGGCUAGAGUCCGGAAGAGGAGAGUGGAAUUCCCGGUGUAGCGGUGAAAUGCGCAGAUAUCGGGAAGAACACCCGUGGCGAAGGCGGCUCUCUGGGACGGUACUGACGCUGAGAC